UCCUCCCUCUUUCCUCGUGCUUCCCCCCUGCACGUCGACCGGAAAGGCCCUGCUUUUGUGGGUUGGUCGAGUGGCGAAGGGGUGUGUAACACGCGAGGAACAUGUCCUUGACAUUGUGAGAACUUCAGGAAACUGGGGCUAAUACCGGAUAGAAGCUCCUGCAGCAUGUGGUGGGUUGGUAAGUUUCGGCGGUGGGGGAUGUACUAGAGGCUUAUGAGCCUGUUUGUCAGGUAGUGGCAUACCAGGGCUUUGCAGGGUAGGCGGCCUAGGAGGGUGACCGGCCACAUUGGGACUGAGAUACGGACCAGACUCCUACGGGAGGCAGUAGUGGGAAAUAUUGCGCAAUGGGCGGAAGCCUGAUGCAGCGACGCCGCGAGCGGGAUGCCGGCCGUCGAGUUAUAAACAACUUUCUCCUGUGACGAAGCCUGAGUGACGGUAAUGGGUAAGGAAGCAACGGCUAACUACGUG
rnacentral:rRNA from 1 species